rnacentral:rRNA from 1 species
AUUGAACGCUGGCGGAAUGCUUUACACAUGCAAGUCGAGCGGCAGCGCGGGGCAACCUGGCGGCGAGCGGCGAACGGGUGAGUAACAUAUCGGAACGUACCCAGUCGUGGGGGAUAACUAUCCGAAAGGAUAGCUAAUACCGCAUACGACCUGAGGGUGAAAGGGGGGGAUCGCAAGACCUCUCGCGAUUGGAGCGGCCGAUAUCGGAUUAGCUAGUUGGUGAGGUAAAGGCUCACCAAGGCGACGAUCCGUAGCUGGUCUGAGAGGACGACCAGCCACACUGGAACUGAGACACGGUCCAGACUCCUACGGGAGGCAGCAGUGGGGAAUUUUGGACAAUGGGGGCAACCCUGAUCCAGCCAUUCCGCGUGAGUGAAGAAGGCCUC